rnacentral:rRNA from 1 species
UCAGGCCUAACACAUGCAAGUCGAGCGGAAACGAGUUAUCUGAACCUUCGGGGAACGAUAACGGCGUCGAGCGGCGGACGGGUGAGUAAUGCCUAGGAAAUUGCCUUGAUGUGGGGGAUAACCAUUGGAAACGAUGGCUAAUACCGCAUGAUGCCUACGGGCCAAAGAGGGGGACCUUCGGGCCUCUCGCGUCAAGAUAUGCCUAGGUGGGAUUAGCUAGUUGGUGAGGUAAUGGCUCACCAAGGCGACGAUCCCUAGCUGGUCUGAGAGGAUGAUCAGCCACACUGGAACUGAGACACGGUCCAGACUCCUACGGGAGGCAGCAGUGGGGAAUAUUGCACAAUGGGCGCAAGCCUGAUGCAGCCAUGCCGCGUGUAUGAAGAAGGCCUUCGGGUUGUAAAGUACUUUCAGCAGUGAGGAAGGGGGUGUCGUUAAUAGCGGCAUCUCUUGACGUUAGCUGCAGAAGAAGCACCGGCUAACUCCGUGCCAGCAGCCGCGGUAAUACGGAGGGUGCGAGCGUUAAUCGGAAUUACUGGGCGUAAAGCGCAUGCAGGUGGUUUGUUAAGUCAGAUGUGAAAGCCCGGGGCUCAACCUCGGAACUGCAUUUGAAACUGGCAAACUAGAGUACUGUAGAGGGGGGUAGAAUUUCAGGUGUAGCGGUGAAAUGCGUAGAGAUCUGAAGGAAUACCAGUGGCGAAGG